rnacentral:sRNA from 15 species
AGGCGCUGCUCGGACACCCCGGCUCCGCUGCGCCGGCCAUGCCAGCUGACGGCUGGUCGCGGUGUGAUGUCGACC